rnacentral:rRNA from 1 species
AGCAGCCGCGGUAAUUCCAGCUCCAAUAGCGUAUAUUAAAGUUGUUGCAGUUAAAAAGCUCGUAGUUGAAUUUCGGGAUCAAUUCGUCGGUCGUGCUUUCGGGUACGUACUGGUGUUAUUGGUUUCUCCCUUCUGACGAACCAUGAUGUCAUUAAUUUGGUGUUAUGGGGAGUUAGGACUGUUACUUUGAAAAAAUUAGAGUGUUUAAAGCAGGCAUUAGCUUGAAUACAUUAGCAUGGAAUAAUGAAAUAGGACGUUCGAUCCUAUUUUGUUGGCUUCUAGGAUCAACGUAAUGAUUAAUAGGGAUAGUUGGGGGCAUUAGUAUUCAAUUGUCAGAGGUGAAAUUCUUGGAUUUAUUGAAGACUAACUACUGCGAAAGCAUUUGCCAAGGAUGUUUUCAUUAAUCAAGAACGAAAGUUAGGGGAUCGAAGACGAUCAGAUACCGUCGUAGUCUUAACCAUAAACUAUGCCGACUAGGGAUCGGAUGAUGUUAAUUUUUAAUGACUCAUUCGGCGCCUUA